GAUGGGGGGGCAAGUGUUCUUCGGAAUGACUGGGUGUAAAGGGCACGUAGGCGGUGAAUCGGGUUGAAAGUGAAAAGUCGCCAAAAAGUGGCGGAAUGCUCUAGAAAUCAAUUCACUUGAGUGAGACAGAGGAGAGUGGAAUUUCGUGUGUAGGGGUGAAAUCCGUAGAUCUACGAAGGAACGCCAAAAGCGAAGGCAGCUCUCUGGGUCCCUACCGAUGCUGGGGUGCGAAAGGAUGGGGAGCGGAACAUG
rnacentral:rRNA from 1 species